GGGGACGCUAGGCCUCGACAGCUAAUUUCUUUAAAAGAUGCAAACCGAGUACGCCGGAAUCUCGAUAAACUUCCAGCAAACCAAUAAGUGUCAACUUAUUGAAUAAAGUGAAGAUGGCGUUUACGCCGUCAUUCGCUCCGGUUCUCGCCUAAUAAAAUAGGCGCUUGAACCCAUCCAACCGGCUAAUUCUCGAUAGGCCGCACGGGUGUCAAAUUAUCGAGAUAGAUUGCAUCUUGGUCGGGAGAUACAAUUGAAAAAACACCGGCUAAGGACUUGGAAUAUUUUGCCCAACCUAAAGUUCCAAGCCCCUCAAAACAAGUUGGGCUAAGUUUGUAGAUAUUUUUUAAAGACAUUUUUUGGACAGGGGUUCAAUUCCCCUCGUCUCC
rnacentral:tmRNA from 1 species